GAGGAGUCCGCGGCCGAUUAGCUUGUUGGUAGGGUAAUGGCCUACCAAGGCUGCGAUCGGUAGCCGGCCUGAGAGGGCACACGGCCACACUGGCACUGAAACACGGGCCAGACUCCUACGGGAGGCAGCAGUGGGGAAUCUUGCACAAUGGGGGAAACCCUGAUGCAGCGACGCCGCGUGAGCGAUGAAGCCCUUCGGGGUGUAAAGCUCUUUCGUCAGGGAAGAUAAUGACGGUACCUGGAGAAGCAGCUGCGGCUAACUACGUGCCAGCAGCCGCGGUAAUACGUAGGCAGCGAGCGUUGUUCGGAGUUACUGGGCGUAAAGGGUGUGUAGGCGGUUCUCUAAGUCUGGUGUGAAAUCUCCCGGCUCAACUGGGAGGGUGCGCCGGAAACUGGAGGACUAGAGUACGGGAUAGGAGAGUGGAAUUCCUGGUGUAGCGGUGAAAUGCGUAGAUAUCAGGAGG
rnacentral:rRNA from 1 species